rnacentral:rRNA from 1 species
CCCUUAGAUGUUCUGGGCUGCACGCGCGCUACACUGGAGCUAUCAACACGUUUUCCCUCCCUGAGAAGGGCGGGUAACCUUUUGAAUCAGCUUCGUGGUAGGGAUCGGGGCUUGCAAUUGUUCCCCGUGAACCAGGAAUUCCUAGUAGACGCGAGUCAUAAGCUCGCAUCGAUUAAGUCCCUGCCCUUUGUACACACCGCCCGUCGCUACUACCGAUUGAACGUUUUAGUGAGGCAUUUGGACCGACGCAUCUCAGUUUAACCGCUGGUUUGUGUUGGAAAGACUUCCAAACUUGAGCGUUUAGAGGAAGUAAAAGUCGUAACA